rnacentral:rRNA from 1 species
GACGAACGCUGGCGGCGUGCUUAACACAUGCAAGUCGAACGGAAAAGCCCUGCUUUUGUGGGGUGCUCGAGUGGCGAACGGGUGAGUAACACGUGAGUAACCUGCCCUUGACUUUGGGAUAACUUCAGGAAACUGGGGCUAAUACCGGAUAGGAGCUCCUGCUGCAUGGUGGGGGUUGGAAAGUUUCGGCGGUUGGGGAUGGACUCGCGGCUUAUCAGCUUGUUGGUGGGGUAGUGGCUUACCAAGGCUUUGACGGGUAGCCGGCCUGAGAGGGUGACCGGCCACAUUGGUACUGAGAUACGGCCCAGACUCCUACGGGAGGCAGCAGUGGGGAAUAUUGCGCAAUGGGCGGAAGCCUGAUGCAGCAACGCCGCGUGCGGGAUGACGGCCUUCGGGUUGUAAACCGCUUUCGCCUGUGACGAAGCGUGAGUGACGGUAAUGGGUAAAGAAGCACCGGCUAACUACGUG